GUGGAGGGUGUUGUUAGAGAAGGGAUAAAGACAAAUUUUGAAUCGUUCAAAGCAAAGAAACGAAGAGACGAAACUGGUAAACAAGAAGAACAUAACAAGAAAAUGGCUGUGUACAGCAAGAUGAGAAGAAAAUUAAACAACAGAAAAAAGGCCCUAAAAGUAAAAGUCCAGUAUACCAGAGGAACAAAAAGAAAAGGGCUCGAAAAGCCUUGUGGUGCAGAACAUGUCUUAUGAACAAACAGAUUCAUAAGACGAAGGAUCGUUUAUCGUCAGUCCUCUGCCUUGGAGGUCUGAUGAUGUUGAUAAAUUAGUAAAAAAACUAGGCCAAAAGCAUGAUGGUCAACUAACCAAGAAAA